rnacentral:lncRNA from 1 species
CAUAGAAGAGGUUUCCUAUUCGCCCUCCAUGUGGAGCAGAGUAAAGAACCUAUCGAAAUACGGACAAGUCAAAAACGUAGGGAACACAUGGACAGACGAAAAUGACAAGGGCUUUCUAAGAAUGGUCAAAUACAUCACCUCCACUGCAAACAGUAGACCCCCAGAGAAUACUCCACCUCUGAUUGGCCCAGGUGACCCUGAACCUUUGGACAUGGGGGAAUUUCUGUCCUUCCUGAAAUCCAGGAACCCAAAUUCGGCGAGAGGCCCAGAUGGCAUUUCGUUCAGGAUGCUGCAGCAACUUCCUGUGGCGAAAAAGCAUAACAUCUUUGAAAUUAUAAACAGGGUAUGGCUCAGUGGCGUCAUCCUAGAAUUCUGGCGUAGAAUUAAGGUGGUACCAAUUCCCAAGAAAAAGGCGGACCCCGCUUCCUUCCAAACUACAGACAUAUUUACCUAAUAGACACCUUCUUUAAGUCUAUAGAGGGGUUGAUAAAGUUUCCGGUCAGAUCCAACGCCUUCAGGAGGAACAGGUCCACGGCGCUCUGCAUCAACGACCUGAUCCACGAGGUCCUGGCUCAGAAGGCGAGAGGGAAUCAGGCCGUAGCGGACUGUCUUGACCUACAAAGGGCAUGUGACUGCGUAAGAGUGGACACGCUAGAGCAGAAGAUGAAUGUCAUGCAGUUCGAGCCGAAUCACACUGCCUGGAUUGCCAGCUUCCCAAGCAGUCGUCUACUCAUCAAGGCAAGAUUGAGGUUCAGAUGAACAGGGGAGUUAGUCAGGGCAGCUGUCUCAGUCCAACUUUGUUCAGCUUGUACACCGCAGAACUGCACGAGAUAGACGAUGGCAACUUUUUACUAUUUCAGUGCGCGGACGAUUUCUUUAUUAUUUGCUUCCAUAAAGAGAUUUCCAUUGCUAAACGUGUGCUCUUAGGCAAAAUAGACAGCUUUGAGGCAAGAUGCAACAGGCUUAACCUAGCUUUCAACCCAGACAAAUCCUAAGUGAUUCACUUCAGCAUUCGAAGAACCGAGCUGAACAUUGAGCACCAAGGAAUCGAGAUUAGGCAAGUAGAUCAGAUCAAAAACCUAGGCAGAAAAAUUUCAGAGAACAACUCAGUCUCAGCGCACGUCGUGCAGGCCAUUUCGGAGUCAAACAGAAACUGUGCCUAAGACUACUCAGUGGGUGCCAUUACGGUAUCAGCCCAAAGAGAGGGCUCAUAGUUUACAAGGCCUUUCUCAGAAGUACUCUAGAAUUCGCUUGCUCGUCUUUCAGCAACUUGUCCAAAUACAAAUCGAGAGUUCGUUGAUAUUCUGGAGAGAAUUGAGGUCUUUGAUUUUGAAUUAGGGCAGACUUCGACUUUUUUAAGACCAGGCGGGCAUAUUAGUCCUUAUAGGGAAAAAAGGGCACUCCUGACAAGGGGAGGCUUCGAGACCUACUUCACUGAUGGCUCAGUAGCAAACAGACACUCUAGCGCAGCUUUCCUACACGACAGCUCAGGAUCAUCAGCUCAUCGGGGCUCUAAUACUGGUAAGGAGCAUUCAGGGUAAUUUUAUCGCUUGUAAAAUCAGGGAAAAUAUCAACCGUCAAGCCCAAUACUUAAAGAAGGUAGAAAUCCAUUUCAUACCCGGACAUGCCAACAUCCCUCAGAACACGGCAGUAGACACAGCAGCCAAAGAAGCACACAGACUCUGGGAAAAUACACAGUCGUUAAAUGGAAUCUUAAAGAUGCCAUAUGUAAGAACCCCGAAUACUAAACGAAUAGGAGAGAGAGUAUGCCGAGUUUG